AGAAUCUUUCGCAAUGCCCGAAAGGGUGACGAAGCGACGCCGCGUGUGGGAAGAAGGCCUUCGGGUUGUAAACCACUGUCGGGAGUUAAGAAGUGUAAGGAUGUUAAUAGCGUCCUUACUUGACUAAGGCUCCGGAGGAAGCCACGGCUAACUCUGUGCCAGCAGCCGCGGUAAUACAGAGGCGGCAAGCGUUGUUCGGAAUUAUUGGGCGUAAAGAGCACGUAGGCGGCCUUGAAAGUCAGUUGUGAAAGCCUUCUGCUUAACGGAAGAACAGCAUCUGAUACUACAGGGCUUGAGUGCGGGAGGGGAGAGUGGAACUUCUGGUGGAGCGGUGAAAUGCGUAGAUAUCAGAAGGAACGCCGGCGGCGAAAGCGGCUCUCUGGCCCGUAACUGACGCUGAGUGUGCGAAAGCUAGGGGAUCAAACGGGAUUAGAUACCCCGGUAGUCCUAGCCGUAAACGAUGGGCACUAAGUAGAGGGGUUUUGAUUAUCUCUCUGCCGGAGCUAACGCAUUAAGUGCCCCGCCUGGGAAGUACGGCCGCAAGGCUAAAACUCAAAGGAAUUGACGGGGGCUCGCACAAGCGGUGGAGCAUGUGGCUUAAUUCGAUGCAACGCGAAGAACCUUACCGGGGUUUGACAUGGUAGAAGUAGGAACCAGAAAGGGUAACGAACGGUAUCCAGUCCGUAACUAUCACAGGUGUUGCAUGGCUG
rnacentral:rRNA from 1 species